GAAGGGUGCAAGCGUUACUCGGAAUUACUGGGCUAAAGCGUGCGUAGGUGGUUCGUUAAGUCUGAUGUGAAAGCCCUGGGCUCAACCUGGGAAUGGCAUUGGAUACUGGCGACCUAGAGUGCGGUAGAGGGUAGUGGAAUUCCCGGUGUAGCAGUGAAAUGCGUAGAUAUCGGGAGGAACAUCUGUGGCGAAGGCGACUACCUGGACCAGCACUGACACUGAGGCACGAAAGCGUGGGGAGCAAACAGGAUUAGAUACCCUGGUAGUCCACGCCCUAAACGAUGCGAACUGGAUGUUGGGUGCAACUUGGCACUCAGUAUCGAAGCUAACGCGUUAAGUUCGCCGCCUGGGAAGUACGGUCGCAAGACUG
rnacentral:rRNA from 1 species